rnacentral:rRNA from 1 species
AGGUGUUGUUGGGUAGGGGAGCGUUCUGUAAGCCUGCGAAGGUGGCCUGUGAGGGUUGCUGGAGGUAUCAGAAGUGCGAAUGCUGACAUAAGUAACGAUAAAGCGGGUGAAAAGCCCGCUCGCCGGAAGACCAAGGGUUCCUGUCCAACGUUAAUCGGGGCAGGGUGAGUCGACCCCUAAGGCGAGGCCGAAAGGCGUAGUCGAUGGGAAACGGGUUAAUAUUCCCGUACUUGGUGUUACUGCGAAGGGGGGACGGAGAAGGCUAUGUUGGCCGGGCGACGGUUGUCCCGGUUUAAGCGUGUAGGUGUGUGUUCCAGGUAAAUCCGGUUCACUUUAACACUGAGGCGUGAUGACGAGGCACUACGGUGCUGAAGCAACAAAUGCCCUGCUUCCAGGAAAAGCCUCUAAGCAUCAGGUAACAUCAAAUCGUACCCCAAACCGACACAGGUGGUCAGGUAGAGAAUACCAAGGCGCUUGAGAGAACUCGGGUGAAGGAACUAGGCAAAAUGGUGCCGUAACUUCGGGAGAAGGCACGCUGACACGUAGGUGAAGU